rnacentral:lncRNA from 1 species
CUUUGCUUAGGGUAAGUUUUAGCAAGCAUGUAAGUUUUGGUAAGGUAGCAAGCAUGUAAGUUUGUUCGAAUUUUGUACUAGAGAUUUUCAAUUUAAGUUGCAUUGGAAAGUUGUGGAAUUCUAUUCUUUAUUUCAUUUCCAAUAAGCAUGGAAGGAUAUGAUUACCAUAGCGCCAUGGAUCAGUGUCCAGACUUGGUUUGAACACUUUUCACCGGGACCAAGAGAUGUUGGUGUUCAGAUGGGCUUGACUCUCAAGUUUAGCGUUCUUCCUUUAACUCGUGCUUAACCUUUCCCCUAUGCGUUAUGUGGAUAUGGCUGGAAAGGAAUACAAGAUAUUUUG